rnacentral:rRNA from 1 species
CCGGCACGGGUGAGUAACACGUAUCCAACCUGCCGUCUACUCUUGGACAGCCUUCCGAAAGGAAGAUUAAUACAAGAUGGCAUCAUGAGUUCACAUGUUCACAUGAUUAAAGGUAUUCCGGUAGACGAUGGGGAUGCGUUCCAUUAGAUAGUAGGCGGGGUAACGGCCCACCUAGUCUUCGAUGGAUAGGGGUUCUGAGAGGAAGGUCCCCCACAUUGGAACUGAGACACGGUCCAA